AAACAUGUCUUUAUGAUUUUAAUUUAAAGUCGGAUCUGCACCAUGAUUAUUUAAAUAGCUGCAGUAAUUUGACUGUACUAAGGUAGCAUAAUAAAUUGUUUCUUAAUUAGGAGCUAGAAUGAAUGAUUUGAUGAAAUAAAUAUUGUCUCAAUUUUAGUAAUUUUAUAAUUUUAUUUUUAGUAAAAAAUCUAAAAUUUUAUUAAAAGACAAGAAGACCCUAUAGAUUUUUAUAAUUAGAAAUUUAAUUAAUUAGAUUUUAAUUAAAAAAAAAUAAUUAUUUGAUUGGGGUAAUUGUUAAAUUAGAUUAAUUUUAAUAUAUUUUAAAUAAUAAUUUUUAAUUUAUUGAUUAAUUUUUUUUUAAUAUUAGAAUAAAAUACCUUAGGGAUAACAGCGUAAUUUUUUUGGUAAGAUCAUAUUUAUAAAAAAGUUUGCGACCUCGAUGUUGAAUUAAAAUAUAAUUUUUAUGAAAAAGUUAAAUAUUUUUGGUCUGUUCGACCAUUAAAAUUUUACGUGAUCUGA
rnacentral:rRNA from 1 species